rnacentral:rRNA from 1 species
AUUGAACGCUGGCGGCCGGCCUAACACAUGCAAGUCGAACGAGUGGCGGACGGGUGAGUAAUGUCUGGGAAACUGCCCGAUGGAGGGAGAUCACUACUGGAAACGGUAUCUAAUCCCGCAUACCCUCCGAUGUCCACAUAUGGGUUUAGCUUGGAGGUGGGGUAACGGCUCACCUAGGCGAAGAGCCCUAGCUGGUCUGAGAGGAUGAACAGCCACACUGGGACUGAGACACGGUCCAGACUCCUACGUGAGGCAGCAGUAGGGAAUCUUGCGCAAUGGGCGCAAGUCUGACGGAGCAACACCGCGUGAGUGAAGAAGGUUUUCGGAUCGUAAAACACUUUUGUUAGGGAGGCGUUAUCUAACCAGAAAGCAACGGCUAACUACGUGCCAGCAGCCGCGGUAAUAC